UGAAAUGAUGAGUUAUCCAAGUCACACAGCUAAUUAAGUAGCAGAGCUAGGAUUAGAAUUCAGGUUUCCUGCCUCCCAAGAUUGUUAAAAUGAGUCUUUGGAAGCAAACCCCUAGUGACUUCUUAAAUCACUGGACAACCAGUUGUGGUAAAAUUAUUCUGGAAUGGAUUAUGGAGAGGUCCUGGCUUGCCUGAUGAAUAUAGCCCUGGAGCAGACAGAAGAAGAUGUAAGUGGACAACUGAAGAAUAAGUAUGGGGAUGCACUUAUCCAAGGAAGCAAUGGGUUGUACAUCAGUACGCAGAAGAGAAGGAUGUGAAGAAACCAAGAGAGCAACACUUUUCAUAGUUGGAUAUAUUUUUUAAUGAUUUUUUUCUAAUUUUUGCUUCUUUUGUGAUGUAAUUUGUCCUGUUUUUAAAAUAGUUGGUGAUUUUUCACUGACAUGUAAGAUAAAUGUAUACAAUUGUGGAUUUAAUUGUGAAGCAUUCUUUCACUUUUAAGUUUCAGUCAUUUUUCUUUUACCUCUUUGACAGUGUACAGAAUGCUAAAAGAAUUUUUAAAAAGACAAAAUGCAUCUCUUCCUACAAGAUUAUUU